rnacentral:rRNA from 1 species
AGCGAACGCUGGCGGCAGGCUUAACACAUGCAAGUCGAGCGGGCCCUUCGGGGUCAGCGGCAGACGGGUGAGUAACACGUGGGAACGUACCCUUUGGCUCGGAAUAACGCUGGGAAACUAGCGGUAAUACCUGAUACGCCCUUUUGGGGAAAGGCUUGCUGCCGAAGGAUCGGCGCGGGUCUGAUUAGCUAGUUGGUGGUGUAAUGGCCUACCAAUGCGAAGAGCAGUAGCUGGUCUGAGAGGAUGAUCAGCCACACUGGGACUGAGACACGGCCCAGUCACGUACGGGAGGCAGCAGUGGGGAAUAUUGGACAAUGGGGGCAAGCCUGAUCCAGCCAUGCCGCGUGAGUUAUGAAGGCCUUAGGGUUGUAAAGCUCUUUUGUCCGGGACGAUAAUGACGGUACCGGAAGAAUAAGCCCCGGCUAACUUCGUG